AUGUCAAUGUUCCCAUCAAGUGAUUGUCUAACUGCUACAUCAAAAGUCAAUUCCUACUCUAGUCAUUCAUGGUCAGACAGGACUUUUUUUCACCAACUGAUAAACACAAUUUUAUCUCACCAGAAGCACCAAACAAUCUCGGGAAGUUCUGAUUGUAGAGUUGCAUCUCAUCUGCAAUUUCAAAAAAUAUCACUCAUCCAAGUAAGCAAUCCACACCACAGGCAUUUUCACUCAAGCAAAGGAGUAGUAUGA